UGCCAUCUACAACAGCGUGUCCUUCAAAUCAAACAAAAGGCCACCUUAGUUCUUGAGGUUAUCUCCUAAACGUGUAGUUAAUAAUAAUUUUUCUCUUAGAAGAGAUUCGAUUUCUCUUCCUGUUCUUCAAUUUGGAUAUAAUUUAGUUGCUAAAUAUUUCACCGGAGUUGUCCGAAUUAUUUAUUUUCAUUGUCCACUUCCAAUUUUUGUUUAUUUCUGAAGGCUUUCUCUGUUCUAUAGACAUCAUCUAACCCAAAAGGUUAGUUGUUUCUUUCUAUUUCUUUAUCUGGGUCUCCACUUGUUGUAAUUUAUGUAUUUGUUUGUGACCUUGCUAGAGAUUCUUUGGUAGAAAUUGAUAUUUAAAUUUGAAAUUUGAGGCAUAGAAAAGGGUAUGAUUAUAACAUGUAUGGGAUCCAAGAUUUCACAUAGAGAUCUAAUAGUUGACAUUUCUUCUAAGGCAAGUUAAUAGUUUUCGUGUUCAUGAUUUGAAAUAUUGGAGAACAUUAACUUAUAUUACCGCACUUUAAAAAGGCAACUCGGUGCACUAAAGCUAUCGCCAUGUGCAGUGUACGGAGAAGGGCUCCACCACAAGUGUGUAUCGUACGCAGCCUUAUCUUGCAUUUCUGCCAAAGGUUGUUUUCAAGGCUUAACCCGUGACCUAUGACACAACUUUUAUCAGUUACUCCAAGGCUCUCCUUCCUUCAAGCCCCCUUCAUUUUUAUUCUUUCAAAUUUAAUUUCUGGAUUUGAGUUUAUUUUCUUGCAAUUUCUCAAAGGAUCAGAAUCAUUGGUAAAAUAAUCUCCUUUAAAAAUAGUUUCAGUAGUCUAAUCUUGCUUUCGCUUUAUGGGUUAAUGACUAUUAUUAUUUAAUUAACGUUGGACAAAGUUGUGGCCCUCUAUUGAUAUAUGAAAUAUAAACUACUUUUAAAUGGAAAACCUGGAGCCAAGCAUAUUAGUGCUGGCUCUUUUAUCUCCAGUUAAAUAGUUAGAAAUGCAUUCUCUUAUCAAUCAAGCAAAAUGAAGGAAAACUGCUAUUGAUCCACAAAUAUGGAAGCGCUGAACUUGAUAGUUUGUAGCCGUGUCUAUGAAUGUUGAAAUUGGAACUUAGUGGUAAUAUUUAACAUCUAAUAUCUUGGUGUGUUCUUUACAGCUACCAACUAGCGGGGUAUUCUGGGUGCUCUCUUUAAUACAAGUUCAACGAAAACAAAAAAUUAUGACCACAAGAGGGAUCAAGACGUAAUAUAUGUCAUUAAGCGUUUGGCUAUUCAAGAAAAGUUUCGUUAUUGAAAAAUGUUUCUCUCAGAGGUGUGUAAAGAGCCUCAUUUUCAACCUCAUUAAGCUUAGAGGUGUUCAGGAAGUUAUAGUAAAUUGUAAGUUUAGAGUUUUGGGGCAAAUCUGAUAGCUGCACUUUUAGCUGGUCUUCCCUACAUUGUUUCCUUGAUUAUAACAUUCUCUUGUUUCCCCUUUUCCUAAAUUUAUUUUGUAUGCUUUGUUUAGAGUGAGUAUAACUUGAGAAAUAGGAUGAUCAUAUGAUACUAAUAGUAGACAUUUCCGUUUGAAGUUGAUGUUACUGUUAGUUGUCUACCAGCUCUAUCUUGGAAAUUUAGCUUAAUUCCUGUAUUAUAGAUGUGGUUUCCACAUCUUUGAUGGUUACCAGAUCUUUGUAUUUUCUUGAUCUUUGCGUUAUGUUUAGGUUUUUAUUUUCUUUUGCUGCCAGCAUUCACCGAAUCCAAUACCAACCUAGCAACUCAUUCUUGUAAGGUUCUAAUGUGCAAAUACAAUUUGGUAGAAUUAAGUAUUAUACUUUCUAAAAGUCAUUAUUUAUCCUCUGAGCAGCUUAUGCAUGCUCUUAUUUUGUCUUCACUUGAUAUCUCUUUCCUGUUUCUUGACUUCUCUCUUAAAUCCUUCCCUAUAGAUAUUAUUCCUCAAAGAAUUUCACAAAAAUUGUGGAAUUGACAGAUCCAAUCAUUUCUCGAUUUGAUGUACUUUGUGUUAUCAAGGUUAUGCCUCAUUCUGUUAAUGUACUGUCAAUCUGGUUUUGCUUUUCCUUCAACAAUUUUUGGACUGAAGGAAACUGAUUAUGUGCGGGAUGUGUUGAUUCAGUCACUGAUAAGAUGCUUGCAAAGUUUGUUGUUGAUAGUCAUUUCAGGUUACAAGCAAAAGGUGCUAGUUUAGAUGAGAAGUCCUUCACUGAUUCACAGGAUGAUGACCGUGUCACUAUGGCUGCAUUUGAUCCUGAGAUAAUUCCUCAAGAGUUAAUAAAGAAGUAUUUAACUUAUGCAAAGUUGAAUGUAUUCCCUAAGUUACACGAUGCGUAUUUGGACAAGCUCACACAGGUUUAUGUUGAACCAAGGAGAGAAUCUUCGGUGAGAUUGCCAUUCAUUGGAGCUUUUUCUUGAAUGAUUUGAAGUAUAUUAAUUUUAACAUUUUAGCAAUGACUUGUUAUCUCGUGUAUUACAACAUGGACAAGGAAAUCCCAUAGCAGUGAGGCACAUCGAAUUGAUGAUAAUGAUUUUUGAAGCCCAUACUGGGAUGCAUCUUAGACAACAUGUUACUCAAGAAGACGUGGAUAUGGCAAUUCGCGUUUAUCUGAAUUCAUUUAUAUCAACUCAGAAAUUUGGGGUGCAAAAGGCAUUGGAAAAGGUUGUUCAACUACUGAUCUUAUUCGUUGGAACAUGCUCAAUGCUAGAAAGGAUGUUUUCGAAUCACUUGUGCUGGUAAAAAAACAUUCUCUCAUUGCUACAGCCAUAAACAACAAAGGGUGAAGCAGACGACAAAAAUUCAAAUGGAAAUGCAAUACUUUGUACACACCUAAUUUUGUCCCUCCCGAAGUAGAUUUUUGUUCAUUUUUAGCUCAUUUUACUGUAUACCUGCACCCAUGUGAUUAUAUCCCACAAAAAUACAAAAAUAACAAAUUCUUAACCAACCUAAACCAAAAUAUUUUUGUGAUAAUUAAUUAACAACCCUCUCAUUUGAAAUUAAGACACCUCACUACCCCACCCACGUGACCCCACCACAUUUCUUUCCCACAAAGAAAAGGAGAACACAAUUGCACAAACAGAUGACAACAAUUUUGGGGGUCCCACGUGUUUUUCUUAGUCCAAUUGAUAAAGACAUGACAUUAAAGAAGGGGGAGGGGGAGGAUUCUUCUUCUCUGGGGGAGAAAAGGAACGAAAAAAAAAGGGCAUAGACUCCAUUGUUAUUUUUGGUUUUGGUUUCUUCUGCUUCAGAAAAAAUCACACACACCGAGAAGGGGUAGAUCCGAGAGAGUGUCACGGAGAGAGAGAAAGUAGAUUUCGGGGUGGGUUAUCGUUUCGGUGACAUACUCGUUGGAAAUGCAUCAACGUAGUCACAAAAACGUUUAAACCCGUCGGAAUACAUCGUAAUCGAUAUAUUUCUCGUCGUUUUGGUCAUCGUUGAGGCCUUCGGAGUCGCAACAUCAUAAAGCGGUCGAGCGAAUCUCGAUCCGCUUUCAAUUUCGUUCGAACUCUUGGAUUCGGUUCGAAUUUCUCUGGUUUCCACGAUAUUUUGCUCAGGUCAUACUGGUUUUCAGUGGUUAUCAGACUUUCGAAGCCGUGGGUUGGUCUGUCUUAGCGUUUCAUUUUCGAAAUUGGGUUUCGGGUUCAUUGAUUCUCAUUUCGGGUUCUGGGAUUUGAUUUUCAUUCGUAUUGACCUGUCUAUUGAGAUCAGUUUGGAUAUCGAAGUCGGAGUUUGUCGCCGUUGAGGUUCGAUUCAAAAUUCUAAGUUCGGGUUUUCUUUAUUAUCAACGAAAGCAAGUGCUAUUGAGGUCCAUUUCUUUAACCCCGUUCUCUUUCCUUUAUUUUGAUUGGUUGAAUUGUUUAUGAUUUUGUCUUGGUUGAUUAUCGUUGUUUGAUCUCGGUUGAUGUUCAUGCAUUAGAUGAUGGAAUGUGGAAUGAUGUUGAUUUGUUGUUUAGAUUUCGUUAAUAGAAUUGAUUAAAGAUUGUUGAAAUUGUAUUUGUAAAUCAUGAAAUUUGGUGUUAAAAAGGAAUUUGAGGGUGGAGUUACGAGAUUGAUAAAAUUGUGAAUUUGGUUUGAUGUUGGUUAUAUUGUUGUUCUUUUUUUUGUUUAAUUCGGAAUAAGUGCGAAUAUUGUUAAAGCGUGAUAGAUCACGACAUGUUGAAAUGGAUAGGCAAAUAUAGGUUCGGGUAGGCAAAAUUUAGGAAUCAAUGCGUCGUUGGAUGUUUGAAUGCGGAGUUGUGUGUUGAAUUUUUUCUAGUUUAUCACAUUCGAUUGAAAUGUAUUCAUUUGGUCGGGAGAUGCCUCGAAGUUUAUGUAUUUAUUCACCGGGGAAUGCUCCGACGUACUAUGUUGGCGGAAGAUGCUCGUGGUGAAGGCCCGAGGCA